AUUUGGAAAGGACAAAGACCAAGCUGAACAGACCAUCAUCUUGGAGAAGAAAUUUGAUGUUGGUGUUGAAUAAAGUUCACCAAUGAUUUGGCCAUGAAAUAAGAGAUGGAGGAGUUCCUGAAAGCCUGUGUAGAAAGACUUACAGAAGAAAUAAGAAACUGAAGUAAAGGAAACAGGAAAUAAUAAAAAGAAAGGAUAGGGAAGAUGUUACAUUUAGGGGAAGCUGGGUGAAGAGUAGAAGAAACUUCUAUAUACUCUUUUUGCAAAUACUUGUGAAAGAGGAUAAAGAAGAAACUCAGGAGUAGUCUGUGAGGCAGAAGAAGAUCCAAGAAAGAGAAGUGUCCAGAAGACCAAAAAAAAGUAUUGCAAGGAGAAAGUGAUUGGCUGUGACCAACAAG